GGACUGUCUCUCAUUGAAAGAUAUGAAUAUACAGUAAACAUUGUGAUCCACUUUAAAAAACUCUGGCCCAGUUUGACCUCACAGUCAGACAAAUGGAGAUGGGCCUGUGUGGUGGGUGUGGACAUGUUCUAUAGGACAAUGGAGGCCUUCUGUAACAUCACUAAGCCUUCAUCUCCACGGCGUUCUGUGACUCACCUCAUCACAGCUGUACCAGGCUCUGUGCUGAGCAGCAGGGAGACAGGGAGAGUUAGAACAUGCCCCGCCGCUUCAUAAGGAGUGUGCGACUCCACAGAGGGAGAAGACACAGGUAAUAAUCAUUGUUAGGCAGAGUGGACCAUUUUACAGAGGAUUUGUAAGCAA
rnacentral:lncRNA from 1 species